GUAAUGAACUGCUCUAAUUGAUUCAUGAAGUGCAGAGUCACUAUGAAAACCAGCAGACCCUGUAGCUCUCCAGGACCAGGGUUGGAGACCAGUGCUCUAUGCUCUGUCUGUGUGCUUCAGGUUUUAUGUUCGCUCGUUUCCAUAGUGCUACCUCCACUCUGUUCAUCCAAUCAAAUUUUUGCUGGACUGCACCCAAUGUUGACUAGCAAUUAAAAGAAAUAAUUUUAUUUCAUUGCAAACACAGUUUGGCAAGUUUGGCAAUCAGCUCAAAUUAACUUGCCAAGCUGAGCAUGUGAGAAAAAGUGUAAUGAUUGCAUUUACGUGCAAGUCAAAGUUAAGGAGAAAAGCAGAUUGAAUACAGGCCAUUAUCUGGCAUUGUUAUCCCAUGUGACCCACAGAGGGCUAGUUUUACAUAUCAUCCAGUUACACAGACAUGCCGUAGAGAGUCCGUUCACCUUCUCCAGUACAGAAGUACCCCACCAGGGAAGGCAACCUGCAUCCUCCUGAUUACAAGCAGCAAUAAGCCCUGGGAAAACGUGACAGCUUCAAUUCACAUCCUCUAGUAUCAAGGGAGACCGUCACCAUCAACCCCCAAGUCAUUGGACCACCUUCACAAAACUUUAUUUCAACAAGAUACUGAAUUUGAAUCUAGUAUUUUAAUCCACGAGGCUGACAGUGAUACUAUACUACUAGUUCAGUAACACGUGUGUUGAAUAUGACCACUUUUGCUGUAUCAAACCGCUCAUAAGAUACUAACUAUGGAUUUGAUAUCGCAAUGGAAUCAACGUGUUUAAAAGCAUCUACGUUGUUUUUUUCACUGGCUACGUUGCCAUUCUACUUGUAUUGCUGCUUUAUACUGUGUUUAUAGUCUUCAUUUUGUUUUAUUUAAUUAUCUUUUAUUGUGUAAAGCGCUUGUUUUAUGUUUGUAAGAUACAGCGCGAGUGCAUUUUUCCGUGCAAUUAUUUAUAGUCAGCGGCCUGGAUUUGAACCGUCCCCGCUGUGAAUUGAGCUCUGUUCCAUAGACACUUGAGGUGCAUGUUUCUCGCGUUACCUGUCCUGUGUCGAAACCACAAGACGAACAGAGGGUGGCUGUUUUUAUUCCUGAUCCUGCGAUGCACAGCUGCGUCCGCUGCCAAGCGCGCUCUGGUCCCGCUGACAGCUCGCGCUGACUCACGCUCCUCAUCCCUCCGUGUCUCCGUGGCGCGGGAGAGCGGAGAUGUCAGGAAUGUGGAGAUGGAGCGGGAUAUGACCUCCCGAGCGGAUCCACAUGGGUGGCUCGGCCCCAGCUGAGGAGCAGACCAGCGGCCCACGGGUUCAACAUCAUCAAAUCUGCUUUACAAGCCUCACGGGACAGGAACUCUGUCACUGCCAACUCUACCCCAGCAAAAGUCCAAAGAAAAUGACCAGACCAGCGCUGAAUGUGCACUUUAAACACCAGAAUUAACCUAUAAAAAUCAGCUUCAGAAUCUUUUAUGAAAAAAGAAUGUUCUCUGAAUGUUUUGUUCUGAACAUGGGUUGAAACUGAAUGAUUUCCUUGUCAGGAAUUUUAAGGGGUCUUCCUGGUGCCAAAAGGUUUAAAGCCACGAUUUCAGUCUCAAGUCUUGGACAACCACUGUAUGACAUGAUGGCUUAUUAGUCACCAGAGCUAUUAAUAAAGUCCACAUACCUUGUUCCCAAUUGGCUCCUGAUUAAAGGGUGAUCACAAAUACCUGCAAGCACUGCGGCCCCCCAGGACUGGAGCGUGACACCUCUGGGUUAAGAGGUGUUUUCAUGACGUAUUUAGCCCACGUCAGGAAGUGACACAAACAUGUCGCACGAGGCUGUCGCCCGGGUGUCCCCUCGCUCCCCGUCCUCAGAUGCAUGGCCGGCGGGAGGGGGAGGGGGGGGGGCUACUUCCUGUGGAUCCACUGACCAAGGCCACGGACAGGAAGGGCUCAGGCACAUCCAGGAAGCUGUGCCUGGUGCCUAUCAGGGAGGAAGCGCGGGCAAAUGCUGACAGGGUCCAUUCGGUUCCAACUCGGGUUGCGGCAAAUAUGGUCAGGAGGAAGAGAGGAGCACCUGAGACUGCGAGCUUCAUCGCGAGCCGAGACGUCGCGGGUUCGAUUCUGGGUUUGCGUCACCGGUGGACUGUUCAGUUCGAUUGAGUUUUAUUUGCGUGGCGCUUUUUUACGGAGACCGUCUCGAACAGGUUGCUCUACAGAGGAAACAGAAAGCAAAAUGGGGCAAAAACCCAAAAACCCCUGACCUGAACGAUUACGAUCGUGACCAUGGUAGUCUGCAGCAGCGGGACACGGGUCGGUUUGGCAGGAUUCCGUCAUUUACCGCUGAAACCGUCACCUUCCUGGGGUGGGGGGUGGGGGGGGAUAUAUUUUAGUAUGUUUUGUGACCAGUUUGCGAUCACAAAUUCCCCUACUUCACCCAGUUUACGAUUGCAAUCUGAACCUCGCCCCACCCCACGUGAUUGCGAAUCACUCACCUCCCCUCCCGCCCGGUUCUUGAUUGCAAUCUGAUAUCCCCCAGUCUGUGACGACCGACCCCCCCCCAACCCCCCGUGCUUAAGCACCAAACUCCACCUAUGAUGGGAAGUGAUUCAGACCCCAGGUUUGGGCGUGAGAACAGGACACCUUUUCACAAGCGGUGCUAUGCCACGACAACAGCAUUCUGCCAUUCAAAAUCAAAACAACACGCUGGGAAGACAGAGCGGCCGUGUUUUCACUUUUUCACGGAUGCGGUUCAGCUCGUUUCCUGUUGUCUGACGCCAAGGCUGAAAACGAACAUCCGCUGCCUGAUCUUCUCAAAUUCAGCUUCAGCCCAGAAUGCGGUUUGGGAAGGGUGACGCGCAACGGUCACCCUUCACGGUGAGUUCUUUUUGCUGCUCAUCACCGCAGUCAACUAUCUCUAAACAUAUGUACCCGUGUGUGUUAAUUUCGACACCGUCCAAAGCACCGGUACAUCAUUUUUAGUGCGUGUGCACAUGGUGUUACAAAUGGGCUCUUGUUUGUGACAUGAAAGAGAAACCAUGCACAAAAUCAAAGAUAAGAACAAGAGUUGUUCACUUAAAGACAUCAUCAAAAUCAAAGGAGGUGUGCAAUUGUAGAUAUUAUCUUUUUAAACUAAGUCUACACAAAAGCAUAAUACAUAAGCACAGGGUGUAUGUAUGAGAUAUCAGAGGUGUGAACAGUGAACACUUCAGUAAGUGUAAAGCAAUGUAAGGAUGAAUGUUAAGUGUGGUAUUGAGAUGUUGGAAAGGUAAAAAGCCACCCCCCCCCACAAAGGACAUAGCCCGCUUGGCAAGCAGGCCAGAUGUAAGGACCAAGAGGGACACAAACAGCCCUCUUAAACCACACCAGCCACACCCACAGGUGCUGCCAAUUUGCUCUGAUGAACCACUCAGCUCUGAUGACCAGCGCCUGCAAAGAGGGGUCGGCCAGAAUCGAUACACAUUCCCUUUAAAUACUUUUUGCACA